CUUUUCUUUGUUCUUCUUCGAUAAAUUUUUUUCCCUAUUAUCUGUCUUCAUCUUCUUCCUCUUCUGCCGUAAAAACUUCCCUGUGAACGGUCUCUCGGUCUAGGUCUCAAAUUGGUUCUUGUUAGCAUUUCUCAGGAUUGCAAAAUCAGAACCUCCACCGAUUUUGGAUUUGAAUUUAGUGAGUUUGAUGGGUUGUUUUUGGAUUACUCAUGGCAAUGUGAUAAACAGGACACCAUGGAAAAACUGUUGGAGCUGGCUGAGGUAGCACAUCUCAAAGAAAAAAUUGGCAAAAUGUAUAGCGGAGAACAUAUAAACAGCACUGAGGAUAGAUCUGUUCUCCAUGUGGCUCUACGUGCUCCAAGAGAUGUUGUUAUGUCCAGUGAUGGGAUAAAUGUAGUUCCAUAGGUUUGGAAGGUUUUCGACAAGAUCAACGAAUUCAGUGAAAAAUUUUCCGGUGGAUCUUGGGUAAUGCUAGUUUAAAUUUGUAUUGAUACGUCUUGAUUUUAAUCUUACACUUAUAAAUAUUGAUAGGAAAGUUUGAUAGACUGGAGCCACGGGGAAGGCAUUGAAAGAUGUUGUAGAUGUUGGAAUUCGAGUCUCGGUGAUUGGUUGCAAGAAGGUUUAAUUCACUCGCACUGUAAUUCUCUAAGUCGCAGAAAUCCUCAAGAUCAACCUGCGUGGUUUCGUGAUUGCCGAGUUGUGGAUGUUGUGAACAUGAUGCCCACUCCGAAAGGUGGAACCAUGGAGCUGCUAUACAUGCAGAUUUUUGAAUGUUUGAUAACUUCUCUAGUUGUAUUUCCCAACAACAUUGGCUCCUGCUCGUGACUUCUGGUUGCUGCGCUAUAAGAAGAGGAUGAUGUUGUAGUUAAUCCACUCGUUUUGAGUUUUAACAGUCUUGCAAAGCCAUCCCCUGCGAUUGAAACAUUUUGUACCAGCAUAUGAUCUUGAUAUGGACUUUGUUCUUGGUGUGGGAGGAUAUGAUCUGGAUAUGUUAGUUCCAGCAUUUGUUCUUCUCAUUCUAUACACGAAUAGGCUUCUCCUGGUUUUUCAUUUUACUUGCAGAUUCAUGUUCUUAACCGGUUAAAGAUAUUUCCACUUAGAUAUAAUCAUCUUUUUUGAACCAUUAUUUGUGUUUGUUAUGUUACAUUCAUAAUAUUUGAUGAGUUUUUGCUGCCAGCAUUUGUUUUAUAUAAGUUUCAGUCACUUUUUAGGUGAGUGCUAAUUACAAAAGGAUGCUAUUUUACUUUUGAUUGGAGAUAUUAGUUCGUUGUUUUGUAACGGAGGGUGAUUUCACAACUCUUUUUGUACCCCAAUCAUAUCUCCGUGAGCACAUUGUCAAUCUCCCUGAAAACUGAAACUAUCAUUUCUGUAUCUAUUUCCUUAAGCAGCUCGAACCUCGAAGACACUAACAUCUCCUAUGAACAUAGCUAAACGUCAUCUAAGAGAUGUGGAUUCAUUAUUUGUACACUUUUUAGGCCUUUAAGUCCACUAAUUUAUUUUGUUUUGAAACAGAAUUUAGGGGCUAAGAAUAGAGAAAAUAGUGCCAAAUAAACUGUUCAACACAGUGACACACUGGUGGUUCCAAGCCACAUGGAAUACUCAAAAUUGGGUCGAAUGGAGAUGUGGCAGCAUACUGGAAGUUCGAUGGAAAUUUUGAUGUCAUGUGCCAACGAUAUGGGCCUUAUCCCAAAUGUUCUAAUUGAGAAUUUCGACGAUGAUAGAUGGUAUGAAUCAAAUUGUAAGGAGUAAUAAAGGGUUGUUCUGGAGCAGGAGCAAUCAAAUACAUUUCUAGUGCACGAUUUACGUCCAAGUGGUGUACAACUUUGGUAGUCUGAGAACAUCACCUUUUGAUUGUUUUU